AGAACGAACGCUGGCGGCAUGCCUAAUACAUGCAAGUCGAACGAAGGCUUCGGCCUUAGUGGCGCACGGGUGCGUAACGCGUGGGAAUCUGCCCCUUGGUUCGGAAUAACAGUUGGAAACGACUGCUAAUACCGGAUGAUGACGAAAGUCCAAAGAUUUAUCGCCAAGGGAUGAGCCCGCGUAGGAUUAGCUAGUUGGUGAGGUAAAGGCUCACCAAGGCGACGAUCCUUAGCUGGUCUGAGAGGAUGAUCAGCCACACUGGGACUGAGACACGGCCCAGACUCCUACGGGAGGCAGCAGUAGGGAAUAGUUGGACAAGUGGGACGAAAGCCUGAUCCAGCAAUGCCGCGUGAGUGAGUGAAGGCCGUUAGGGUUAGUAAAGUCUUACUUUUACCCGAG
rnacentral:rRNA from 1 species